rnacentral:rRNA from 1 species
GCCAGACUCCUACGGGAGGCAGCAGUGGGGAAUAUUGCACAAUGGGGGAAACCCUGAUGCAGCGACGCUGCGUGAAGGAAGAAGUAUUUCGGUAUGUAAACUUCUCUCAGCAGGGAAGAAAAUGACGGUACCUGACUAAGAAGCCCCGGCUAACUACGUGCCAGCAGCCGCGGUAAUACGUAGGGGGCAAGCGUUAUCCGGAUUUACUGGGUGUAAAGGGAGCGUAGACGGCGAUGCAAGUCUGAAGUGAAAGGCGGGGGGCCAACCCCCGGACUGCUUUGGAAACUGUAUAGCUGGAGUGCAGGAGAGGUAAGUGGAAUUCCUAGUGUAGCGGUGAAAUGCGUAGAUAUUAGGAGGAACACCAGUGGCGAAGGCGGCUUACUGGACUGUAACUGACGUUGAGGCACGAAAGCGUGGGGAGCAAACAGGAUUAGAUACCCCUGUAUG